UACGUAGGGUGCGAGCGUUGUCCGGAAUUAUUGGGCGUAAAGAGCUUGUAGGCGGUUUGUCGCGUCUGCUGUGAAAAUCCGGGGCUCAACCCCGGACUUGCAGUGGGUACGGGCAGACUAGAGUGUGGUAGGGGAGACUGGAAUUCCUGGUGUAGCGGUGAAAUGCGCAGAUAUCAGGAGGAACACCGGUGGCGAAGGCGGAUCUCUGGGCCAUUACUGACGCUGAGGUGCGAAAGCGUGGGGAGCAAACAGG
rnacentral:rRNA from 1 species